AUUGAACGCUGGCGGCAGGCCUAACACAUGCAAGUCGAACGAGUGGCGGACGGGUGAGUAAUGUCUGGGAAACUGCCCGAUGGAGGGGGAUAACUACUGGAAACGGUAGCUAAUACCGCAUACCAUCGGAUGUGCCCAGAUGGGAUUAGCUUGUAGGUGAGGUAACGGCUCUCCUAUGCGACGAUCCCUAGCUGGUCUGAGAGGAUGACCAGCCCCGCUGGAACUGAGUCACUGUCCAGACUCCGACAGUAGGCAGAAGUGGGGAGUAUUGCACAGUGGGCACAAUCCCGCUGCAGCCAGGCCGCGUGUAUGACGAAGGCCUUCGGGUUGUGAAGUACUUUCAGCGGGGAGGCGUUGCCCGCAGAAGAAGCGCCGGCUAACUCCGUGCCAGCAGCCGCGGUAAUUC
rnacentral:rRNA from 1 species